rnacentral:rRNA from 1 species
GUGAGUUAAGUAUUAGUACAUAUCAUUUACAAUGAUAAGGCCUAUAAGGUAGAAUUCAUUAAUAUAUACUGUAAAUUAAUUACUAAAAUUUAAAUACCUUUUGCAUAAUGGUUUAAUAAUUAUAAUAAAUUUAUUUUUCCCGAAGUUAGAGGAUCUAAUUUUUUAGAGUAAAUUUAAUAAUGUUUCAAAAUUAUAAUUUAAUAUAAAUUAGUGGUGAAAGGCUUAUCAACUCUAAAAAUAUCUGGAAUAAUUUUAAAUGUAUUUAGUACAGAAUAAAAUUUAAUUAAAAAAAUGUUAAUUUUUUUAUAAAGGAUUAUAAUAGUAAAAAUUGUGGGUUAACCCUCAACUAAAUUAACUACAAUUAUAAAUUAUUUAAAUCUUUAUAAUAAAAUUAUAUUUAUUACAUCUUUAAAAUUAAUUAUGUUAAAAUUAGUAUAAAAUUUAAUAUUUACUUAAGGAACUCGGCUUUCAUCUGUUUAUCAAAAACAUAGUCUUAUGGAAAUAUAAGAUAUUACCUGCCCAAUGAUUUUAAAUGGCCGCAGUACUUUGACUGUGCUAAGGUAGCAUAAUAAAUUGACUCUUAAUUAGGGCCUUGAAUGAAAGGGAUUAUGGAUAAUUUCUGUCUCAAGUAAAUAAAUUUAAAGUUACUUAAAAGGUGAAAAUUCCUUUAACCACAUAAAAUAGACGAGAAGACCCUAGGAGUUAUUUUGUUGGGGCGACAGUAUAGCAUAACCUAUAUAAUUAAUAAAACGAAAAAUUUUAAUAAUAAACUAACUACCCUAGGGAUAACAGCAUAAUUUAAUUUUAAGUUUGUGACCUCGAUGUUGGACUAGGGACUAUUAAAGCUAACAGCGUUAA